CUCCUUCUCUAUUCAUUUACAUUCUCUGAUAAUAUGUAGAUAUUUUGAUACCCUACAUCUAGCAAAAUGUUGCACAGGGUAAAGUAGUUUUCUGCACCUAAUGAUUGUAUGUAACAGCAAAAGCUAAUCGAGAUAGACAUAAAGUUAUACAGAUGAGCCACUCCCAUAAAAUGCGAUAAUAUAAAGUAGUAUAACUAAGCCUUAAUUGUAAUGCAGAUUAUCAAAUAUGCGAGGUGCAUCUGUGGCUUGGGAUAAUAACCACACUCACUUUUCAUACAAAG